AGAGUUUGAUCCUGGCUCAGGAUGAACGCUGGCGGCGUGCCUAAUACAUGCAAGUAGAACGCUGAAGCUUGGUGCUUGCACCGAGCGGAUGAGUUGCGAACGGGUGAGUAACGCGUAGGUAACCUGCCUCUUAGCGGGGGAUAACUAUUGGAAACGAUAGCUAAUACCGCAUAAAAGUCGAUAUCGCAUGAUAUUGAUUUGAAAGGUGCAAUUGCAUCACUAAGAGAUGGACCUGCGUUGUAUUAGCUAGUUGGUGAGGUAACGGCUCACCAAGGCGACGAUACAUAGCCGACCUGAGAGGGUGAUCGGCCACACUGGGACUGAGACACGGCCCAGACUCCUACGGGAGGCAGCAGUAGGGAAUCUUCGGCAAUGGGGGCAACCCUGACCGAGCAACGCCGCGUGAGUGAAGAAGGUUUUCGGAUCGUAAAGCUCUGUUGUAAGUCAAGAACGAGUGUGAGAGUGGAAAGUUCACACUGUGACGGUAGCUUACCAGAAAGGGACGGCUAACUACGUGCCAGCAGCCGCGGUAAUACGUAGGUCCCGAGCGUUGUCCGGAUUUAUUGGGCGUAAAGCGAGCGCAGGCGGUUUGAUAAGUCUGAAGUUAAAGGCUGUGGCUCAACCAUAGUUCGCUUUGGAAACUGUCAAACUUGAGUGCAGAAGGGGAGAGUGGAAUUCCAUGUGUAGCGGUGAAAUGCGUAGAUAUAUGGAGGAACACCGGUGGCGAAAGCGGCUCUCUGGUCUGUAACUGACGCUGAGGCUCGAAAGCGUGGGGAGCGAACAGGAUUAGAUACCCUGGUAGUCCACGCCGUAAACGAUGAGUGCUAGGUGUUGGAUCCUUUCCGGGAUUCAGUGCCGCAGCUAACGCAUUAAGCACUCCGCCUGGGGAGUACGACCGCAAGGUUGAAACUCAAAGGAAUUGACGGGGGCCCG
rnacentral:rRNA from 1 species